ACUGAACCUGACAGGUUGCUAUGAUAUUUAUUUGAAGUUAAAAAUAAAAAUCACAGACAAUCUAACCACUGAAUUAUAUAUGAGCAAAAGUCUGGCUUAGAAGAAGCUUGGAGUAGAUCACAAGCACAUGCAGUUCUAGUCACCACCAUGCUAGGUUUUCAAGUUCAGCAAGAAGUUGAAACUCACCAAUCAGAGGCACAUUUUCAGACGCCGGCAUGAUCUCAGCCACCAUCAGCUGGAAUACAGUCAUGGCCAACAGGAUGGUCACUCCCAAAGAGACCUUCUCCCCCGAGGCUGCCGGUAGGUCCAGGAACCGAAGGUCAGGUUACACUGCUGGUUGUCGAAGGGGAAGUAGGUGACAUCUACCACGCAGGAGCUCUUGGUGAUGGCAGGUGAGUCCCAGGUGAUGAGCCCAUCAUAGCGCAG